GUCCGGGUAACGGCCGAGGGCCGGGCGGCCCCGCGGUGCAGACGGACAGUCGGGCGGGCGGCCGGAAGGAGGACGCCCCAGGCCUCGGCAGAGCUGGGCCGGAGGGCGGAGCCGCUCCGGGCGAGUGGUCCGAGGGUCCGCGUGCCUGGUGGGCGGUCGGCGGCGUGCGCACACGUCCAUGUGCAUUUGUGUUUACGCACGCACCGCGCCACGGCGUCGGCCGGGCACCGGGGAGGUGGCGGACCUGCGGGCACGUUGGCGCGCGUGUGAACGCGCAGCCCCCUGGUGCGUUUGGUGUGUGAUCAACGCGUACACAUGUGGCGGGUGUGCAGAUGCCGCCCGUGCCCGGCACGGUGUGAUGUGUGUACACGGCCUGGAGUGUAGGGGUGGCGUGUCGGAGCCCCACACUACACCACAGGGAUGAGCGUGUAUCCCCUUCAGAGACAGCCCUCAGCGCCUUUUUCCAGGAGACCAACAUCCCCUACAGCCACCAUCACCACCAGAUGAUGUGCACCCCCGCCAAUACCCCUGCUACACCCCCCAACUUCCCUGACGCUCUCACCAUGUUCUCCCGUCUCAAGGCCUCCGAGAGCUUCCACAGCGGUGGCAGCGGCAGCCCGAUGGCCGCGACAGCCACGUCACCCCCGCCACACUUCCCC
rnacentral:lncRNA from 1 species